UCCUAGGUGGCUUAGUGGUAAAGAAUCUGCCUGCGAUGCAGGAGACGCAGGUUCCAUCCUUGUGUCAGGAA
rnacentral:tRNA from 1 species